rnacentral:tmRNA from 1 species
GCGAUUGCGGUGCGGCGCGGGAUUGCCUAUAUCGGUCGUGCCGGAGGCUUCGGCCUUGGCUAUGGCGAUAAAGGAUUGCGUAAAAUAGACGCAGCGGACCCGGGGGCAGUACCCGGCGGCUCCACCAUAAGGUGGUGUUCUGGACACCGUUUCUGACGGGGCCGAACCAGGAUCGACGUGUGUUGAAAGGCGUUUUCUUUUGCUCGGAAUGGGACCACCGUGACGGCCCAUACACAAGUGCCAACGAUAACGAAGCACUCGCGAUUGCGGCGUAACUGAGGGCCUCACGGCCUAAGGUUAUUCUAAAAAAGCGCGGUCGGACCCCACCGGGCAACAGAAGGGGAUUCCAGCGGUACGGGGAGCACCGGGCAACAGAAGCUCCCCACU